rnacentral:rRNA from 1 species
GGCGAGUGANCGGCNNCAGCUCAAAUUUGAAAGCUAGCCUUCGGGUUCGCAUUGUAAUUUGUAGAGGAUGAUUUGGGGAAGCCGCCUGUCUAAGUUCCUUGGAACAGGACGUCAUAGAGGGUGAGAAUCCCGUAUGUGACAGGAAAUGGCACCCUAUGUAAAUCUCCUUCGACGAGUCGAGUUGUUUGGGAAUGCAGCUCUAAAUGGGAGGUAAAUUUCUUCUAAAGCUAAAUAUUGGCGAGAGACCGAUAGCGCACAAGUAGAGUGAUCGAAAGAUGAAAAGCACUUUGGAAAGAGAGUUAAAAAGCACGUGAAAUUGUUGAAAGGGAAGCGCUUGCAAUCAGACUUGUUUAAACUGUUCGGCCGGUCUUCUGACCGGUUUACUCAGUUUGGACAGGCCAGCAUCAGUUUCGGCGGCCGGAUAAAGGCUCUGGGAAUGUGGCCUCCACUUCGGUGGAGGUGUUAUAGCCCAGGGUGUAAUACGGCCAGCCGGGACUGAGGUCCGCGCUUCGGCUAGGAUGCUGGCGUAAUGGUUGUAAGCGACCCGUCUUGAAACCACG